UAAUAAUUAAAUAUGAAGUGGAGUGGAGAGUGGCAGAUGAAUUCUAAUAGUAAUUGAAUUAGCACUUAGGAGUUAUCUUAUCUGCAUUGCCACAAUUCAAAAGUUCCACAGUUGUUUUCUCUCAGUCCGUAUUAUACUAAUUACGCCUCUCAUCCUUCCUGGUGUUGACAGAAGUAGUUAGUAUGCAUGGAGAGGCACCCAGCUCUCCUAAAGGGGUCUGGUCAGUACUGACUCCACAUCCUCCUUGAAAAUGCCAUCUGCUUCUUUCCUACACAGCCAUGGGGGACCCUUCCCUCCCGCUUUUGGAAAAAAGAACAUAUGUUUCUAUUUGAUAUGAUAGAUGGUCAGGGAGAAGGGGCAGGCCCGGAAGUGCAUCAGCAUCCCCUUCUGGGACGCGCUCGGCUACCGCCGUCUAGCAAGUUUGUCUUGGUUUCUGUGUUUGAGAAAAUCCUGAACUUCAGUUCUUGUCAACUCCAUCUCCAAAAGUAUCUGAUUCUCUGAAAGGAACUGUGCCUUCAUCAUUCCAUAUGACCCUGACGGCUGUGCCCUCCUCAGCCAGUGAGAGAACCCGUGACUCCUGGAAAUAAACUUGGCAAGUAAAUGAUGAGAAUACAAGGGUGAACAUCUCUGUUUAUUAAUUGACAAAUGGUGCUGAUGCAAGAUGAAGCACGCUGCAUACGUCAUUGCCGUUUCUUACAUCAGACUCACAGCAAGCAUCUUCUAAUUUCAUGGCAACUGAAGCGACUUAGCAGCAGCAGCAGCAGCAGCAGCAGUCACCAUCCACCAUGAUUUUGGAGCCCAAGACAAUAAAAUCUGUCACCGCUUACACUUUUUCCCCCUUUUAAUUGCCAUGAAGUGAUGAGACAAGAUGCCAUGAUCUUAUGUUUUUGAAUGUUGUGUUUCAAGCUAGCUUUCACACUCUUCUCUUUCACCCUCAUCAAGAGACUCUGUAGUUCCUCAUCACUUCCUGCCAUUAGAGUGAUAUCAUCUGCAUGUCUGAGAUUAUUGUUAUUUCUCCUGGCAAUCUCAAUUCCAGCUUGUGAUUCAUUCAGCUCAGUAUUUCACAUGAUGUGCUCUGCCUAGAAGUUAAAUAAGCAGGGUGACAAUACACAGCCUUGUCGUACUCCUUUCCCAAUUUUGAGCCAGUCAGUUGUUCAUCGUCUGGUUCUAACUGUUGUUUCUUGACUGGUGUACAGGUUUCUCAGGAGACAGGUAAGGUGGCCUGGUUCCAUCUCUAAGCAUUUUCUACAGUUGAUUGUGAUCCACACAAAAGUCAGUGAAGCAGAAAUAGAUGUUUUUUCUGGAAUUCCCUUGCUUUCUCCAUGAUCCAGUGAAUGUUGGCAAUUUGAUCCCUGGUUCUUUUGCCUUUUUUAAACCCAGCUUAAAAAAGGGAGCUCUUGGUUCACAUAUUGCUAAAGCCUAGCUUGAAGGAUUUUGAACAUUAGCUUCCUAGCAUGGGAAAUGAGCACAAUUUUAUGGUAGUUUGAACAUUCUUUGGCAUCCCCCUUCUUUGGGAUUGAAAUGAAAACUGACCUUUUCCAGUCCUGUGGCCACUGUUGAGUUUUCCAAAUUUGUGGACAUAUUGAGUGUAGCACUUUAACACAUCAUAUUUUAGGAUUUCCAGCUCAACUGGAAUUCCAUCACCUCCACUAGGUUUGUUUGUACUAAUGUUUCCUAUGGCUUACCUAACUUCCACUCCAGGAUAUCUGGCUUCUAGGAGAGUGACCACACCAUCGUGGUUAUCUGGGUCAAUAAGACCUUUAUGGUAUUGUUCUUCUGUGUAUUCUUGCCACUUCUUCUGAAUCUCUUCUCCUUAUGUUAGGUCCUUGCAGCUUCUGUCCUUUAUUGUUCUUGAAAUGUCCUUUAUACUUGCUUGAAAUGUUCCCUUGAUAUCUCCAAUUUUCUUGAGGAGAUCUCUAGUCUUUCCCAUUCUAUUGUUUUCCUUUAUUUCUUUGUAUUGUUCAUUUAAGAAGGCCUUCUUAUCUCUCCUUGCUGUUCUCUGAAACCUGCAUUCAGUUGAAUGUAUCUUUCCCUUUCUCCUUUGCCUUUCACUUCUCUUCUUUCCUUAGCUAUUUUUAAGGGCUCCUCAGACAACUACUUUGCCUUCUUGCGUUUCUUUUUCUUUUCUUCUUCUUCUUCUUUUUUUUUUUUUUUUUGCAUUUCUUUUUCUUUGGGAUGUUUUUGGUCACUGCCUCCUGUACAGUGUUACUAACCUCUGUCCAUAGUUCUUCAGGCAUUCUGUCUACCAGAUCUAAUCCCUUGAAUCUGUUUGUCAUCUUCACUGAAUAAUCACAAGGGAUUUGAUUUAGGUCAUGCUUGAAUGGUCUCAUGGUUUUCCCUUCCUUUUUAAUUUAAGCCUUAAUUUUGCAAUAAGGAGCUUAUGAUCUGAGCCACAGUAGCUCCAGGUCUUGUUUAUACUGACUGUAUAGAGCUUAUCUAUCUUUGGCUUCAAAGAAUAUAAGCAGUCUUUUUUUGGUAUUGACCUUAUGGUGAUAUCCAAAUGUAGAGUUGUCUCUCGGCUUGUUGGAAAAGGGUGUUUGUUAUCACCAACAUGUUCUUUUGACAGAACUCUGUUAGCCUUGGCCCUGAUUCGUUUUGUACUCCCAGGCCAAACUUGCUUGUUAUUCCAGGUAUUUCUUGACUUCCUACUUUUGCAUUCCAACCCCCUAUGAUGAAAAGGACAUCUUUUUUUUUUUUUUUUUUUGGUGUCAGUUCUAGAAAGCGUUGUAGGUAGGUCUUCAUAGAACUGAUCAACUUCAACAUCUUCAACAUCAGUGGAUGGGAAAUAGACUUCAAUUACUGUGAUAUUGGAUGGUUUGCCUUGGAAAUGAACUGAGACCAUUCUGUCAUUUUUGAGAUUGUUCCCAAGUACUGCAUUUCAGACUCUUGUUGAUUAUGAGGAUUACUCCAUUUCUUCUAAGAGAUUCUUGCCCACAGAUUUAAAUAUAUGUUCACCUCAAUUAAAUCCUCCCAUUCCUGUUCAUUUAUGUUCACUGAUUCCUAAAAAGUUGAUGUUCAGUCUUCCAUCUCUUGCUUGAUCACAUCCAAUUUACCUUGAUUUAUUGACCUAACAUUCCAGGUUCCUAUGCAAUAUUUUUCUUUACAGCAUCGGACUUUACUUCCAUCACCAGUCACAUCCACAACCAGGUAUAGUUUUUGCUUUGGCUCUGCCUCUUCAUUGUUUCUGGAGCUGUUUCUCCACUCUUCUCCAGUAGCAUAUUGGGCACCGACCGACAUGGGGAGUUCAUCUUUCAGUGUCAUAUCAGUAUUGUUCUUUAUAGCAUGGGACUUUACUUUCACCACCAGACACAUCCACAGCUGAAUGUCAUUUCCAUUUGGCACAACAACUUCAUUUUUUGUAGAGCUGUUAGUAAUUGCCCUUUCCCUGCUCUUCCCCAGUAAAAUAUUGGACACCUUCUGACCUGAGGCGCUUAUCUUCCAGUACCGUAUCUUUUUCCCUUUUCAUACUGUUUAUGGUGUUCUCUAGGCAAGAAAGCUGGAGUGAAUUGCCAUUUCCUUCUCCAGUGCACCACGUUUUAUCAGAACUCUUCACUAUAACCGGUCUAUCUUGAGUGGCCCUGCACAGCAUGGCUCAUAGCUUCAACUUACAUAAGCCCCUUUGCCCCAGCAAAGCUGUGAUCCAUGAAGAGGUAUUAGCUAUGAGGAAGAUCCAAAUAAAUAUUUCAGUGUGAUAUGGCUACACAGCCAUUAGAAGAGCUAUAAUCAAGAAACUGGACAAUACCAGGAGUUAUUAAGGAACUUGGGG
ensembl:lncRNA